UCCCCUGUAGCUCAGUCGGUAGAGCAGCGGACUGUUAAUCCGCCUGUCACAGGUUCGAGUCCUGUCGGGGGAGCUA
rnacentral:tRNA from 1 species